UUUAAAGGCAAUGCUACUAAAUACUAAUUGAAUGUAUGUAAACUUCUGACCCACUGGGAAUGUGAUGAAAGAAAUAAAAACUAGGAAAAAAUCAUUCUCUUUACUAUUAUUCUGACAUUUCACAUUCUUAAAAUAAAAUGGUGAUCCUAACUGACCUAAAACAGGGAAUUUUUACUAGGAUUAAAUGUUAGGAAUUGUGAAAAACUGAGUUUAAAUAUAUUUGGCUAAAGUGUAUGUAACCUUCCGACUUCAACUGUAUGUACUUGUGAACGACCAGUCCAGAAAUAGCCAAAGUAACAGUACUAUCUGUGAGACCUCAUUAGAGACAAUGUACCAUGUCAAUACAUCAUGAAUAGGCAUUUCACAUGCAGGUGCAAAGUAAGCAACAUGAACACAUGCACAUACAGAAUAGGAUACUAGGCAGUCAUUUUAUAUAUCCAUUAACACAUAUUUUUUUAAGCAAGUCACUGAUGUUUUGAAUAAAUAGGGUUUAUAUAUUCCACUUGCUGAAAGGCAUUCUUAUUCAGAUCUUUUUUUGGGGGGGUCUCAUUGCAAUGUUUAUAUCUGUUAUUCUAACAAACCCCACACAAUUGAAAAUUUGGUUAAAAUAAACACAUUCUUAGCAUAGCCAAUACAUUCCUACAGUGUUUUUUUUUAAAUACAUAAUUUCAAUUUUUUUAUUGUGUAUGACCCAGUGUGGUCACGCUUUAAAUGACAUGUCAAACGUGACUUUACCCAUUAUGUCAAAUAUGACAUAAAUCUGUGCUAUAUAAAGGGUGGCAUAAGCACCUCUUAAUAAAGGCCAUAUAAGUCAUUCAAUUGAGUCUUCACAAAUAGGAUUUAUAACAUUUACAUUUACAUUACAUAACCCUGUCAUACAUCUUGGUAGAGCAUUGCAACGCCAGGAUAUUGGGUUCGAUUCCCGGGACCACCCAUAUGUAAAAAUGCAUUCACGCAUGACUGUAAAUUGCUUUGGAUAAAAGUGUCUGCUAAAUGUUAUAUACUGAACAAAAAUAUAAACGCAACAUGCAACAAUUUUACUGGACUGGUAACUGAAAGGUUGCAAGUUUGAAUCCCCGAGCUGACAAGGUACAAAUCUGUCGUUCUGCCCCUGAACAAGGCAGUUAACCCACUGUUCCUAGGCCGUCAUUGAAAAUAAGAAUUUGUUCUUAACUGACUUGGCUAGUUAUAUAUAUAAAAAAAUAAGGAAAUCACUACAAAUAAAUAAAUGCAUUAUGCCCUAAUCUAUGGAAUUCACAUGAUUGGGCAGGGGUGCAGCCAUAGGCUGGUAGCCAGGCCCUGCCAAUCAGACAGAAAUACUCAUGUUUCAUCAACUUUCCGGGUAGCUGGUCUCAGAUGAUCCCGCAGGUGAAGCCGGAUGUGGAGAGGCUGGCGUGGUUACACGUGGUCUGUGGUUGUGAGGCCGGUUUGACGUACUGCCAAAUUUUUAAAGUAGAUUCUUCUACUUUGAAGAAUCUAAAAUCUAAAUAUAUUUUAAUUUGUUUAACACUUUCUUGGUUACUACAUGAUUCCAUGUCUUCACUAUUAUUCUACAAUGUAGAAAAUAGUAAAAAAUAAAGAAAAACCCUGGAAUGAGUAGGUGUGUCCAAACUAUAUUAUAUUUCACUAAAACCUUUCUCGGAUGGCCCAACCUCUUUCCCUCUUGGGUGUAUAGUCAAUAUUGGACCUUACCUCAACUUCCCCCAAAAUACUGUGCUGCAGGAUGACACACACACUAAUGUAGUCAUUCACAGCACACAACGUUGGUAGAGCCUUUUUAAAUCUUAUUUUUUGCCUAGAUCAGUUUUUUUGUGUGUUCUUAUUACGUUUUCUUGGUUUUGUUUUUCCAGAUUUCGGAUUUCCCCCCAAAAUGUCUGUGUUCAUAACAAUGCUUAAACCACAUCAGGGGAUGACUUUUGAGGUCUUGGAAAAAUCGAAGAAACUGUGUAAUUGCCCUUUAAUUCAGUGAGCAUGCCCUGCACUGUUGUUUUGUUAGCAGGUUUUCUGGAGUGCAGUUAGCACACAUGAUGUGAUUCAGCUGCCAAUGGAAUGGGGGGAGUAAUCAAAAGCCCACUUGUGCGGCCACUGGACAGCAAAAAACGAGCUGGAACCAACAUGGAGUACCUCCAGUAGGAAGAGAGGCAAGAACCAUGUCUGACAACUCAGGGACAAGCUACACUAUUCACAGCAAUUACAUUGUAAUGUUCAAUGUAAUUGCAUUGCUGGACUUUUUGAAACUUCAUGUAUUUGUACUGCUUAAAAGAUUUACAAAUGUAUGUUUUAUGUUUAUUUGUUUUAGCUGUUAGUGAUAAUUCCCAGUGUUAAUACAUUUGUUUACAUCAUUAAGUCUUUAUGUAUCUGUCAUGAUCAAAGGGGUCUGACUUAAUAGUAAGCAGAGCCUCAUAGGAUACAAGGCAUUUAUGUAUGUGUUAUAAAUUACCAAGGGGUUUCACUUCAAACUAAGUAUUACAGGACAACAUAAAUAUGUUAUUAACCUUC